rnacentral:lncRNA from 1 species
UUCCAAUCCUCUUCUUCUAAGGAGGCUCUGGUCCUCGAAACCAGAACAAGCUUUUGCUUAUCAAAAUGUUUUGAAAAUUGGCAAAUCAACGUCUUCCUUUCUCAGUUUAAUUUUGUAAUGCUUGCUGCCUUGCUGUAAAGUUUUUUUGUUGUCCCUGAUUGGUUGGAAGAUAACAGUAUUUAAACUCUGAUGUACCUGUCUCCUCCAGGUUCAAUCUAAUCAUGAUAUUGGUACAAAGUAACUCUGUUGGAAACCGAGAACACACACAAGAUGAUUAUUCUCCUCCUAACACGAUUUAUUUCAUAUCUAAGGGCUAACCAGGAAUCGAUCCCUCGACUACUUGGUAAAGGAAUACAAUUCACUACCACUUGUGUCAACCCACUGUAAGUAUGAUAAAAUAGCCAAAGACAAGUAAAACUAGCCAAAGCAUAUGAUAAAAUAGUUUCCCCAAGCUCGGAAGAAUUUUAUAAUUGAUGAAAUUAAGAGUAGAACCUUGAUCUGCUUGUUUGUGUUAAACUUACUCCAGGGUCAAUAUAUGUAGUUUUUACAUUGCAGUCAUGCACAUUUCAUUAACUUUUGUACACGGAGAUGAAUGAUCAAAUAUUAAUGGUAUAGCCUGAUAUUGAGCUGUCUAAGCCAUAUCGAAUGAAGAAUCAUAUGAAACACAUUAAACGACUUGGCUGGUCGAUUCAACACAAAAUGUCUUUGAACUUUCAUCACUCUCUUCUGUAAUUUCAAGUACUUAGCAUGUGGAACAUUUUUCAGCAUUGUCUUGAUUUCAGCUAUCCUUCUCGAGGGAAUAUGCAAUGAGAAUUUACUCCUGUCAAGAACAUCACUAAAGGGAAGUUGAUAGUAAUCUGAAACAAUUACAGGGACACAUCCUAUAUUGAUGGACUCCACAAUCCGAGGACUUGCCACUUCAUAGCCACUUGGGCACAAACAAAACUUGCUUUGUCCCAUGAGACCGUGGUAGUCAACGCCUUUGGGAAGAUAUUCAUGCACUUGAACUUCUUCAUCUUUGUCUUUCCAAUGUUGUAGUAGUAUCUCCCUAAUCCUACCAUGAACCCCUCCAGCAAAAAAAGCAAGUAUAGAACGAUUAUUAGGGUCAAGGCCAAGAAUUGGUGAACUCAACUUAAAACCUUGUAAGUUCACUUCAGGCAUUGGCACAUCUUUUUCAGGCUUAAAUCCUUCUGACUUGUUGGCAUUAUAUAACACUCUUAUGGAUAAACAGGUCAAUACAAUAACAAACUCCUUAAAUGUAAGGGUAAAAAUCACGGGUCAUUCAGACCAAAGAAAUAACUCUACUAUAAUCAAUAAAGGUACAAGAAAGUCUUCAAUAAGUACACUGGAACGUGCUACAAACCAUCAAAUCAAAACAAAGCACAAAUACUUACAAGAAAUAAAAGAAGAUGAAAUCCAAGGGAGAAUAGGAAACACUUAUUAUGUUCUUGAAAAGCUCUUUGCCUGAUUCCGCUCGUGAGAUAUCUGGUGGUGCCUGCAACAAAUGAAACAUAUAUUACCCCAUAUUUUGCAUCUAACAUCACAAAAUUAAAUAGACUAAAUUUAUAAUUUGGUAUUCUAAAUCGAUAAUUGAUGCUUAUUUAUGUUCACUUUGAAUAAACUUCUUCAUAAACAUACGAAAGAAAACUGUAAGCUUUUUUUAAAAAAAAAAAAUUCUAUAAGCUAAAAUCAACUUACUCACAUUAGUUUUUAGAGAAGUAAAAAGAAAGAGUUUCUAUAAAAUUAAAUGCAUAAAUUGUUUUUAACUUGUAGGAAAAGUUGAAGUUGUUUUGCUUAUUUAUUUUCUUCUUUUAUGAGUACUUAGGAAAAAAAUAAUCGACAAAGAUUAAUCUUAAUGACAUUUUUUUUUUGAAGUAUAUGAUGUGAAUUGUUACCCAGUCAUGACAAGAGGCUAGAAAAUGAUCUGCUCCUCUGGUCCUGUUCCAGUAUGGGUACCUGUGGGCGAUGAUGUUGGUAUAAUCAAUGGUGAUCCACAUCAAUUGAUCACGAGAGUAGGUGGUGAGAGGGUUGUAUACAUAUCGCACAAUUUGGGCCACACUUAU